CCAGCUGGCGAGCGACGCGGGAUUUGCAUUUGUCACCGUUUUAGAAGAGCGAAAUAAAAACGGAUCAAAUCAAAACCGUUUGGAGAUCGUCAACCUGCAACUCCUCUAUGAAAUACCACGAAUGCAAUGAUACAAAGUAAAAUGUAAAAGUAAAAUCAACUCCGAUCCAGUGGAGAUUCUAGCUUUUUAAAAGAUCAGGGGUUAAAGUUACCUGGGGCUUGAAGGAAGAUUGGCCUCGGUGCUAAAAUAGUCGGUGCUAGGCUUAACAUAUUCGGCGCUACAUAAGUAAUCGGACCUAACGACGCUCAUGCUCCGAACCGAGCCUCCCCUGAACACACACAUGUAAAAAUGAGAUGCUGUUCAAUCCGACUCCUGGCAACGAGCGCGUUCUGGUGCGGUUCCAGCGGACAUGUUGGAAAUUCAGGAGGACACACUGGCUUGUCUCGGAGCCAGGUUCUCCCGCUGUAGGCCCACUCCAGCCUUCUUCACGUCAGCCGAUUGCUGUCAGCAGAGGCUCUUGUACAACACCUGACCUUUGACAUCGGUGAGACUGAGAAGCAGCAUGGUGCCCUGAGCAGACAGCCCAGAUCCCUGCGUGUGCCUGGGGCAUGCAUGUUCCUCAUUCCAGCACCCUCAUCUCUUCCCUCAUCUUUUCUUCUCUUGGCCCGAGCAUAGAAAAGCUAAAAACAAAGAGGCAUAAUUUCUCAUGGUACAUUUUAUUUCUUAUAAAAAAUUUUAAUAUGUUGUGUUGCUUGCCAAAUUUUGCAAUUUUGUAUUACAAACUCAUUCCACUGACCGCACACAGAGUUGUGGUUCGAGAUCCCUAUUUCACAUGUUGUUCUGCAAGGGUUCCUGAUGCUCCAGGGAGGUGUGUGGUUGAGCCGAUUUGGACACUUUGCCUGUGAUUGGAAGGUUGCUGGUUCAAAUUCCAGUGUUGGCAGGGUGAUAUCACCUUUGGGCUCUUGAGCAAGGUCCUUAGCCCCCAACUGCACCAGGGGCUGUCAUGCUGCUUUUUCAAAAACGAUUUGAUGAAAAGACUUUUGAUGAAUGCACCUGCUAAAUAAAAUGUUUAUUUUUCUUUCCUCUUUU